rnacentral:rRNA from 1 species
AGAGUUUGAUCAUGGCUCAGGACGAACGCUGGCGGCGCGCUUAACACAUGCAAGUCGAGCGAGAACCAGGGCUUCGGCCCUGGGGACAGCGGCGAACGGGUGAGUAACACGUGGGUAAUCUGCCCUUGACAUCGGGAUAGCCCGGGGAAACCCGGAUUAAUACCGAAUAGCCUCCGGAGCCUGCGGGCGCCGGAGAAAAGGUAGCUUCGGCCUCUGGUCAAGGAUGAGCCCGCGGCGGAUUAGCUUGUUGGCGGGGUAACGGCCCACCAAGGCGACGAUCCGUAGCUGGUCUGAGAGGACGAUCAGCCACACUGGGACUGAGACACGGCCCAGACUCCUACGGGAGGCAGCAGUGGGGAAUCUUGCGCUAAUGCGGGAAACCGUGACGCAGCGACGCCGCGUGGGGGAAGAAGGCCUUCGGGUUGUAAACCUCUUUCAGGAGGGACGAAGCUACUCGGGUUAAUAGCCCAGAGGGUGACGGUACCUCCAGAAGAAGCCCCGGCUAACUACGUGCCAGCCGCCGCGGUAAUAC